CGGUAUGUACUGGCUUUACUGAUUCCUCCUUCUUGACGAACCGUGAUGUCAUUAAUUUGGUGUUGCGGGAAAUCAGGACUGUUACUUUGAGAAAAUUAGAGUGUUUAAAGCAGGCUAACGCUUGAAUACAUUAGCAUGGAAUAAUGAAAUAGGACGUUAAUCCUAUUUUGUUGGUUUCUAGGAUCGACGUAAUGGUUAAUAGGGAUAGUUGGGGGCAUUAGUAUUCAAUUGUCAGAGGUGAAAUUCUUGGAUUUAUUGAAGACUAACUACUGCGAAAGCAUUUGCCAAGGAUGUUUUCAUUAAUCAAGAACGAAAGUUAGGGGAUCGAAGACGAUCAGAUACCGUCGUAGUCUUAACCAUAAACUAUGCCGACUAGGGAUCGGAUGAUGUUAUUUUUAAUGACUCAUUCGGC
rnacentral:rRNA from 1 species